rnacentral:rRNA from 1 species
UACGUAGGGCGCAAGCGUUGUCCGGAAUUACUGGGCGUAAAGGGCCAGUAGGCGGCCAACUAAGUCACACGUGAAAUCCCCAGGCUUAACCUGGGAACUGCGUGUGAUACUGGAUGGCUUGAAUUCGGGAGAGGGAUGCAGAAUUCCAGGUGUAGCGGUGAAAUGCGUAGAUAUCUGGAGGAAUACCGGUGGCGAAGGCGGCAUCCUGGACCGACAUUGACGCUGAACGGCGAAAGCUAGGGGAGCAAACGGG